AGGUGAGGGAAUUCGGCAAAUUAGCCCCGUAACUUAGGGAGAAGGGGUGCCAGACGUGAGUAACGCCUGGUCGCAGUGACAAGGGAACUCCGACUGUUUAACAAAAACAUAUCCCGGCGCGAAUCCGAAAGGAUGUGUAUGCCGGGUGAAUCCUGCCCAGUGACGGUAUCUGAAAAUCCGGUUCAACGGAGUGAAGGACCGUUAAACGGCGGGGGUAACUAUGACCCUCUUAAGGUAGCGUAAUACCUUGUCGCUUAAUUGGCGACUUGCAUGAAGGACCAACGAGAGUUCUACUGUCCCCACCUGGAAGCCGGCGAAACUGAUGUACCGGCGUGCAAUCCGGUACCUUCCACCUGAAAGCGAAGACCCCAUGGAGCUUUACUGCAGCCUGUUGCUGUUGUACGAAUUUGAAUGUGUAGCGUAGGCAGGAGACGUUAUCAGGGUCGGCCGCUAGGUCGAUUCCGAGUUGCCAAUGAAACACUGCCCUUUCGAAUUUGCACAACUUACCUUGAAAGAGGGACAACGGUAGGUCGGCAGUUUGGGUGGGGCGCCACGCCCUCAAAAACGCAACAAGGGCGCCCAAAGGUCAGCUCAGACAGGUCAGAAAUCUGUCGGUGAGUGUAAAGGCAAAAGCUGGCUUGACGUAGAUUAGGCCAACAGUAAUCUACGAUGCGAAAGCAAGGCUUAGCGAACCACUGAAUCUUCAUUAUGGGGAUCAGUGAUAACAGAAAAGUUACCCUGGGGAUAACUGAGUCGUCGCCAGCAAGAGUUCAUAUCGACCUGGCGGUUUGCUACUUCGACGUCGGCUCUUCCUAUCCUGGUGGUGCAGCAGCUGCCAAGGGUGGGGUUGUUCGCCCAUUAAAAGGGAUCGUGAGCUGGGUUCAGACCGUCGUGAGACAGGUUUGUUGCUUUUUGGUGGAAGUGCACUAGUGCCUGAUGGGAAGCUCCCUUAAGUACGAGAGGAACGGGGGGGCGCCGCCUCUAGUUUACCAGUUGUCCGACAGGGCAUUGCUGGGCAGCCACGCGGUAGUGGAUAAGAGCUGAAAGCAUCUAAGCUCGAAGCCACCCUAAAAACGAGGCACUUUUCAACGCUCGUAGAAGACGAGUUUGAUAGAGCCGGGGUGUAAGUACCGAGGACCUCCGAGGUAUUCAGCCCGCGGCCACUAAAGUUGUAGCCACAUUAGUG
rnacentral:rRNA from 1 species